rnacentral:rRNA from 1 species
GCGUAGGGGGCAAGCGUUAUCCGGAAUUAUUGCGCGCCCCGCUCGCUCCUUUUUUUUUUUCCGCGUGCUUUUCCCGGCAAUAGCCCCCCCCUCGCAAGCCUUGCGAACUGGAAGACUUGAGUGCAGGAGAGGAAAGUGGAAUUCCUAGUGUAGCGGUGAAAUGCGUAGGUAUGAGGGGGAAGAAGUGGGGGGGGGGGGGGGGGAGGGAAGGGGGAGGAAAAGGAGGAAAGAAAGAGGGGGGAGAAAAAAG